CGACACAAACUAUUUAAGUUCUUCUCUUUUUUAUCACACUACGGGUGCCCUUAGAGCAUCUCCAACAGUAACAUAAAAAUAAACUCCCAAAAAACUGGUUUUGGGACCAUCCUAAAACAUAUUGGGAGUAAAAAAUAAUCUGUCCACCAACAGUUUCCAAAAAUCUGUUCCCAAAAUAUUUUAUUAUAAUCUAGUCAUGUUUAUUUCCUUUGGGCCUGACUAUGGGCCAACCGAACAUUCUAAGCCCAUCUAGCACUCACAUUUUUAGACCCUCCGAUAGCCUGAUCCAACGGCGCGGCAUGCAUCAUAACUCUACCGGUCCUCGUCUUCUCCGCUUGUCCAUCUACCCACGACAAAACUGCUGCCGUCGGAGCACUUCCACUGCGAACCACUCACCGGCAUGGCAUCAGACGGCAGUGAGCUGUGGCAGCGAGCCCAGACCCCUUCCUCCAUCCUGCACAUCUCGUUUUUUGACCCUAAUGAGCUUCUCCUCGCCCUUACCCUGCUUUCCCUCUUCGUCCCCGGUGGCACCCAGGACGGAUCCGCCGCCCCAUCGUCGGACCACUGCCCACCGGCAAGACGACCUCGAUGCAGGAGGCACAGAAGUUUUGACAGGAAUCGUUAUGUCCUCGCUCAAUUUUUGGGUUUGGGAGCGCAAGAGACUAGUGUAAAUUUGGCUCGAAAUGCGGUGCGUAUUGGGCGUUCGACAAGACUGGGAAUAAUCUUGGGCUACUGUUGGAGCGUGUUUUUUUCAGUUUAUUCUCAAAACUUAAUUUUUGGAUAUUAUUUUGGAUAUUUUUGGAGAUGCUUUUAGUGCGAUGGUGGCAAAGGUGGUGGAUCCGAUGGUGAUGGCAUCUUCAAACAACGGGAAGAUCUACCCGAAGGCCACGAGCGGAAGACGAGGACAAUCCUCAUCAUACCAACUUAGGACACGGAGCUUCGGAUGUGCUCUGAAGGAGGUUUGUCCGAAGGUCUCCCCUGAAGGGCCGACGAGAUGAAGCCUAUGCGAGAUAACCUGGAGUCGACUGAUAGCCCGAAGCCCUGGCGAAGCGCGGAGACCGAAGGCCAAGCAUCGAAGGGUUUUCACAAGAGGAGUCUGAGUUGGAGGGCACGACGAGCUGUAAAGAGGGUUAAGAGAGGAAAUUAUUGUAUGCUUCUAGAAAUAUUUGGAGAAUAUAGUCGUUGAGGGAUAAAAAGAUAUAAUAACGGAGAGAGUAGGUGAACCGCAUCCUAUAAAUAACCCUGUAACUGUAAAUGAUGGGACGAUUGAUUUCUGUUGAAUAGAAUAUUGAAUCU